rnacentral:sRNA from 1 species
AUUUACCUGAUGCAUCUUUGCUCAAUUUUUUAUUUUUAACCUAUUUUCCCCAUUUACUUCUAGAGAGAAGCAAGGAACAAUUGAAUGUCCUAGAAGAAUAGUUCACUGUAAAUCGUCAUCUCUAGGAUAAUACAUCACUGAGGCAGUCUCUUCUCACAAAUUCUGAACAAAUUGAGAAGUCCAAGCAAUGGCACACAGAUGCCAAAAUAUCACCUUAAUAUUGUCAAGGCUGAAGUGAAGAUGUAGCUUACUGUAAAAGCAAAAUUGACCUACAGGAAUUAAACUAAUCUAACCUUCCAAGUCUUAGGCAAUAAUUGAACCAACUAGCUAAAGUUUACAGCAUGGGGCAGGCAGAGAGAUUCCCAAAAGGAAAAGAUGGAAAAUCUUUUUUUUUUUUUUUUUUUUGAGACAGAGUCUCACUCUGUUGCCCAGGCUGGAGUGCAGUGGCACGAUCUCAGCUCACUGCAACCUCCACCUCCUGGGUUCAAGUGAUUCUCCUGCCUCAGCCUCCCGAGUAGCUGAGACUACAGGUGUGGGCCACCACACCCAGCUAAUUUUUGUAUUUUUGGUAGAGAGAGGAUUUUCACCAUGUUGGCCAGGCUGGUCUCGAACUCUUGACCUCAGGUAAUCCACCCUCCUUGGCCUCCCAAAGUGCUGGGAUUACAGGCAUGAGCCACCACCCCCAGCCAAGUUGUAGUUAAUCUUUACAAAACCCAGUGAGGUACUUAUAUUCCCUUUUAUAGAUGAAGGUGCUGAGGCUCAGAGUUUCAGUAUCUUGCCCAAUCUGUAACUCCUAUAUAGAGAAUGAGAGGACAUUACUCUAGUUUCUUGCCUGCUACAGUAGGGUUAUAAAUGCAAAGUACUAAUUAUUCUACCAUAAUGUUUCCUUUAUUCUAUUUGCAGAGGUGCUGAUACUCAAAGAAGGUUUAAGUUGUCUAAUCUCUCUAUAAAUUCCACUGAAUGUCUACAUGUGCAUUGCCGAGGAUUAGAGACUAGUUUGGCUGAAUGUACUUUUACUAAGAGAAGAACUAUGGGUUACCAGGAUUUAGCUGAUGUGGUGUGUUAUACACAGAAAGCAGAUUCUCCAACGAAUGACUUCUUUCAGUGUGUGAAUGGGAAAUACAUUUCUCAGAUGAAGGCCUGUGAUGGUAUCAAUGAUUGUGGAGACCAAAGUGAUGAACUGUGUUGUAAAGCAUGCCAAGGCAAAAGCUUCCAUUGUAAAUCGGGUGUUUGCAUUCCAAGCCAGUAUCGAUGCAAUGGUGAGGUGGACUGCAUUACAGGGGAAGAUGAAGUUGGCUGUGAAGGCUUUGCAUCUGUGGCUCAAGAAGAAACAGAAAUUUUGACUGCUGACAUGGAUGCAGAAAGAAGACGGAUAAAAUCAUUAUUACCUAAACUAUCUUGUGGAGUUAAAAACAGAAGGCAUAUUCGAAGGAAACGAAUUGUGGGAGGAAAGCGAGCACAACUGGGAGACCUCCCAUGGCAGGUGGGAAUUAAGGAUGCCAGUGGAAUCACCUGUGGAGGAAUUUAUAUUGGUGGCUGUUGGAUUCUGACGGCUGCACAUUGUCUCAGAGCCAGUAAAACUCAUCAUUACCAAAUAUGGACAACAGUAGUAGACUGGAUACACCCCGACCGUAAACGUAUAGUAAUUGAAUACGUGGAUAGAAUUAUUUUCCAUGAAAACUACAAUGCAGGCACUUACCAAAAUGACAUCGCUUUGAUGGAAAUGAAAAAAGACGGAAACAAAAAAGAUUGUGAGCUGCCUCGUUCCAUCCCUGCCUGUGUCCCCUGGUCUCCUUAUCUAUUCCAACCUAAUGAUACAUGCAUCGUUUCUGGCUGGGGACGAGAAAAAGAUAACGAAAAAGUCUUUUCACUUCAGUGGGGUGAAGUUAAACUAAUAAGCAACUGCUCUAAGUUUUACGGAAAUCGCUUCUACGAAAAAGAAAUGGAAUGCGCAGGUACAUAUGAUGGUUCCAUCGAUGCCUGUAAAGGGGACUCUGGAGGCCCCUUAGUCUGUAUGGAUGCCAACAAUGUGACUUAUGUCUGGGGUGUUGUGAGUUGGGGGGAAAACUGUGGAAAACCAGAGUUCCCAGGUGUUUACACCAAAGUGGCCAAUUAUUUUGACUGGAUUAGCUACCAUGUGGGAAGGCCUUUUAUUUCUCAGUACAAUGUAUAAAAUUGUGAUCUCCCUCUUCUUUCUAUUCUUUUUCUCUCAAGAGUUCCAUUUAAUGGAAAUAAAACUGUGUAAUUAAUAAUUCUCUAGGGGGGAAAAAUGAAGCAAAUCUCAUUGGAUAUUUUUAAAGUUCUCCACAAAGUUUAUGCCAUAUUGGAAUUUUGUUGUAUAAUUCUCAAAUAAAUAUUUUGGUCAAGCAUAC